AAGGAGUGAAGUAUUAUACGGUACGUUUUAUUUACACUAAAAAAGUUUCCAAAUCAGGAACGCUC
rnacentral:tRNA from 1 species